GAUGAACGCUGGCGGUAUGCUUAACACAUGCAAGUCGAACGGACUCUUCGGAGUUAGUGGCGGACGGGUGAGUAACGCGUGAGAAUCUGGCUUUGGGUUCGGGACAACCACUGGAAACGGUGGCUAAUACCGGAUGUGCCGAGAGGUAAAAGAGAAAUUGCCUGAAGAUGAGCUCGCGUCUGAUUAGCUAGUUGGUGAGGUAAAGGCUCACCAAGGCAGCGAUCAGUAGCUGGUCUGAGAGGAUGACCAGCCACACUGGGACUGAGACACGGCCCAGACUCCUACGGGAGGCAGCAGUGAGGAAUUAUCCGCAAUGGGCGAAAGCCUGACGGAGCAAUACCGCGUGAGGGAAGAAGGCUCUUGGGUUGUAAACCUCUUUUCUUAGGGAAGAACAAAAUGACGGUACCUAAGGAAGCAGCAUCGGCUAACUCCGUG
rnacentral:rRNA from 1 species